rnacentral:rRNA from 1 species
AUGGAUCCUUUGGAUUAUCUUUCAAUCAGGUUUCAUUUCGGAGGGGAAUUUCACCAUGAUGGUACAGAGUGGCAGUAUUUGGGUGGUACACAUGGCAUGUCCAUGGUUCAUCUGUCAAAAUUGAGCCUCGAAGAACUGAAAAACAAUCUUGCAGACCAUGUUAGAUGUUCAGAUAAAGCACUAAACAACAGUACACUGCAUUGGAAAUUUCCUGGUCUAAUAAGAGAUGGUGCAAUGAGUAGUGCUCUGGUGAUGUUACAUGAUCAAAAAUCAGUGUUAGAGAUGGCAAAACAUGCCACUGAUGCAGGUGUUAUGGACAUAUAUUCCAACAUACCUGAUGACUUUUCACAGGAUGAUUAUGCAGAGGAACAUCAACAUCACUUAGAGGAGGAACAAGAACUUCAUGGAGAGGACCAGCAGCAACAUGUACAAGAGCAGCAAAAUAAUCCAAAUGCAGAUGAACAUAUAUUAGAACCAGAAGCUUGGCAAUACUCCAAUUUGUAUUACCAGCCUAGCAGUAGCAGUGCUAAAUUGCCAGUGAAGAGAGGUAGCAGCCAUAUGCAGGACAAAGGGAAAUCACAUUUAGAUGAGGAUGAAGAAGUACACACUGAAAGUGAUGGCUCAUCUGACAGUGACUAUGCUAUUCCCCCGGCAGAGAGCAAUAGCUCAGCAUCUGAUGAUGAAGUGCUAGAGUUGAGAAAAUAUGCUAAAGAAUUGAAGGACAAAGUGAGAAAGAACAUGCUGAGAGAAGAGGAGGGCAAACCAUGCAAUGUGCCUGAAGAGUAUAUUGUCCCAGAAACAUUUAACCUAGAUGAUUCAGAUGGAGAAGACACACCAUAUUUUGAAAGUGAUGACGACUUGUCAUAUGAUGAAGGUAGUGAUGGAGAGAUAAGUGAAGUUAGAAGGAGGAAAACAACACACAGAGUUUAUGAUGACAGUACUGACAAACCAGAAUUUGCUCUAGGCAUGGCAUUUCGUGAUAGCAGGGAAUUCAAACAGGCACUGGUUAAGUAUGGGCUAGCAAAUUUCCACCAUUUAAGAUUUCCAAAAGAUGAAAAGAAAAGGGUCAGUGCAGAAUGUUCCUGGCCUGGUUGUCCUUGGAGCAUCUAUGGAUCCAUUAGUAGCAGAUCUGAUUGGUUGUUAGUUGUGAGGUAUAAAAAUGAGCACACAUGUAUUCCUAGGAGGGACAACAAGCUUGUCACAAGCACGGUCAUUGCCAAAAAGUAUUUCAGACAGAUCAGGCAUAAUCCUACUUGGCAUGUAGAGCAUAUGCAGGAGGCAGUACUUGAGGAUCUUCUAGCCGAUGUUAGCUUGUCCCAGUGCAAGAGAGCAAAAAAGUUAGUCAUGGAAAAGCUCACUGAUUUGACUAAUGGUGAGUAUUCUAGAGUCUAUGACUACCACUUAGAACUAGUGAGAAGCAAUCCUGGGAGCACAGUGGCGGUGACUCUAGAUCCUGAAAUUUUUGACAAGCCAGUUUUCCAAAGAAUGUAUAUUUGUCUUGAUGCCUGCAAAAAGGGUUUCCUAGCUGGGUGUAGAAGAGUUGUGGGUCUAGAUGGGUGCUUUCUGAAGGGGUCAGUCUCAGGCCAAAUACUAUGUGCUAUUGGUAGAGAUUCCAACAAUCAGAUGUACCCCAUUGCUUGGGCUACAGUUGAGGUUGAAUCAUAUGACUCAUGGUACUGGUUCCUAUCAUUUCUUCAGAAGGAUCUUCAGAUAAGCAACAAUGGAGAUGGAUGGGUCUUCAUAUCUGACCAACAGAAGGGUCUUAUCAGGGCUGUCAAUGAAAUUGUGCCUGAAGCAGAGCAUAGGAUGUGUGCUAGGCAUAUUUAUGCUAACUGGAGAAAGGUGCACAGAGAUAAAAAACUGCAAAAGAUGUUCUGGGCAUGUGCCAAAUCAUCUGAUGUUACUCAAUUUAAUUACAAUAGAGCCAAACUAGCCCAAAAAAGUGUGGAAGGAGCUAAAGACAUCCUGAAAACUGCACCGGAGCAUUGGAGCAGGGCCUACUUCAAGCUUGGUUCUUGGUGUGACUCGGUAGAGAAUAAUCUGUGUGAAUCAUUCAAUAAUGCUAUAAUGAAGGCAAGGUUCUUUCCUGUUAUUACAACAAAUGAGAUUAUUAGGAAAAAGGUCAUGGUAAGGAUCCAGGAAAAUAGAGACAAAUCUAACAGUUGGCCUGGAACCAUUUGCCCUAAUGUUUUCAAAAAAUUGAAGUUGAACAUCAAGAGGUCAGGACUAUGUCAGGUUCUUUGGAAUGGGAAGGAAGGAUUUGAAGUUCAAGAAGGUGUGCAUCGGAGGUACACAGUUAACUUGGAGGCAUGGAAAUGUUCUUGCAGAUAUUGGGAACUGGCUGGUUUGCCCUGUCCUCAUGCUAUCAGUGCAAUUUACACAUGUGGUAAAAAACUAGAUGAUUAUAUUGCUCCAUGCUACUCUAUCUCUGAGUACAACAAGAUUUAUGACCAUGUGCUGCAACCAGUGGAGGGAAAAGAGAAUUGGCCAGUUGCUGACAUGCCAAAACCUCAUCCUCCUCCUCAUAGAGUGAUGCCAGGAAGAAAAAAGACUAAAAGAAGAAGAGAAGAGGGUGAGAAACCUCAGGGGAACAAGCUUUCAAAAAAAGGCAUAAGAAUUUCAUGUUCUGUUUGUGGGAGCUUUGAUCACAACAAAAGAAAGUGUUUGGGAAAUCCAAAUAGAGAUAAGAAGCAGAAAGAUAACUACAAAAGAGCAGCACAAAGAGCAAGAAAGAAGAAGCAAAAGGAAUCAGAAAUCAACACUCAGGUGCCACAACCACCAAAGAGGACAAACAAUGCAGUAUCAUCAUCUUCUAGAGCACCGCCUAAUCCAGCGAAGAGGGCAAAGAAGCAAGCACCUCCAGCAAGAUCAUCUUCACAACAAGCACCUCCAGCAAGAUCAUCUUCACAACAAGCUUCUCAACAUACUGUAGACAGAAGAAGCAGGAUGAGGAGUCAGAACAGAGUAGGUUCAAGCUCACAGCCCGCUCCAGGAAAUUCAAGCUCAAUUCACAUGCAAGUGCCAACUACUGACAGGCUGCAAUGGCUCCUAACUGGAGAAAGGUGA